rnacentral:ncRNA from 1 species
CGAGGAAUGAUUUGAUAGAUUGCAACCUCAUUAAAAAAGUGCUAAAGCUA